UGCAGCUUUGUCAAAUUCAGUGCUCCCUCCUUAGUAGGUUGCACUGGCCAAAAUGGCUGCAACAAUGAUUGUAGUUCAUGGGCCUCACAUUUUGUCAUCCUGGAUUGUGGGGAUAAAUGUGUGCUACAGACAAAA
rnacentral:snoRNA from 1 species